rnacentral:rRNA from 1 species
GAUGAACGCUGGCGGCGUGCUUAACACAUGCAAGUCGAACGGUCGCAAGAUAGUGGCGCACGGGUGAGGAACACGUAGCUAACCUGCCUUCGGGUCUGGGAUAACGUCUCGAAAGGGAUGCUAAGACCGGAUAAGCUCACAAGCUGCAGAGGCUGGUGAGAAAAGGGGCAAGACGCCCGAAGAGGGGGCUGCGGCGCAUCAGCUAGUUGGUGAGGUAAUGGCUCACCAAGGCAACGACGCGUAAGGGGUCUGAGAGGAUGAUCCCUCACACUGGGACUGAGACACGGCCCAGACUCCUACGGGAGGCAG